rnacentral:tRNA from 1 species
GCCUGGGUGGCUCAUUCGGUUGAGUGUCUGACUUCAACUUAGGUCAUGAUCUCACAGUUUGUGGGUUUGAGCCCUGCAUCAGGCU